rnacentral:sRNA from 1 species
UGACCCUUCCCCACCAGGGAACCAAGCUACGGACAGCCGGGUCGACUGCCGC